rnacentral:rRNA from 1 species
GUGGGGAAUAUUGCACAAUGGACGCAAGUCUGAUGCAGCGACGCCGCGUGGGGGAUGAAGGCUUUCGGGUUGUAAACUCCUUUCAGCAAGGAAGAAGCUUUUUGUGACGGUACUUGCAGAAGAAGCGCCGGCUAACUACGUGCCAGCAGCCGCGGUAAUACGUAGGGCGCGAGCGUUGUCCGGAAUUAUUGGGCGUAAAGAGCUCGUAGGCGGUUUGUCGCGUCUGCUGUGAAAGACCGGGGCUUAACUCCGGGGCUGCAGUGGGUACGGGCAGGCUAGAGUGCGGUAGGGGUAAUUGGAAUUCCUGGUGUAGCGGUGGAAUGCACAGAUAUCAGGAGGAACACCGAUGGCGAAGGCAGGUUACUGGGCCGUUACUGACGCUGAGGAGCGAAAGCAUGGGGAGCGAACAGGA